CCUACGGGGUGCUGCAGUGGGGAAUAUUGGGCAAUGGAGGCAACUCUGACCCAGCAACGCCGCGUGAAUGAUGAAGGUCUUCGGAUUGUAAAGUUCUUUUCUAAGGGAAGAAGAAAGUGACGGUACCUUAGGAAUAAGCCUCGGCUAACUACGUGCCAGCAGCCGCGGUAAUACGUCGGAGGCAAGCGUUAUCCGGAAUGACUGGGCGUAAAGGGUGCGUAGGUGGUUUGACAAGUUAGUAGCGCAACUCCGGAGCUCAACUUCGGAACUACUACUAAAACUGUUGGACUUGAGUGCAGGAGGGGCAAUCGGAAUGCCUAGUGUAGCGGUGGAAUGCGUAGAUAUUAGGAGGAACACCAGUGGCGAAGGCGGAUUGCUGGACUGUAACUGACACUGAGGCACGAAAGCGUGGGGAGCAAACAGGAUUAGAUACCCGGGUAGUC
rnacentral:rRNA from 1 species